rnacentral:lncRNA from 1 species
UCGCAUGCGCACGUCUUCUUCUCCACCUCUCCCCCACAUGCCACCAGCCAUAGCCGCCGCCUCCUCUCCCCUGCUUGUUUCCCCCCUUUCGGCCAAGAUCCACAGGCCACCCCUCUACCUCUUCUUCGUCUUGAGCAAGAAGAUGACUCCGUUCUAGGCGAUGGCUCCGGUGCCACCUCCCUUGAAUGAGGGAUCUCGCCGGCAUGAUCUCCUGACAUGGCGAGGAGGAGAGGGAGGAGGAUGUCGUUCACCGCGUGGCGCGGCAACCCAGUGCUGGUCAACGGGGAUGGUGCCGCCUCACGAGGACGGCGGCUGCGCUGGCAGACAAGAUCAAGCUGUUGCUCGUCAACAUCAAUGACAUCAGGUAAGUCAGAGAUCAAACUCCCACCAGUAUCGAUUAUUUACCUUCGCUUCACCAUCGUUUUCAUGGCGUUAUUCCAAACAUUUUGUUGAUGUUUGCAGAUCCAAAGCAAAUAUGGGAGCUCCAGCAAGGCCUUGAUGAGUAAACAACAUGCCUACUACUCCGUCUACUUGAUCAGCCUCUCUAUUGUGUUGAUUGGCCACUUUAGAAUUUCAUUUGGGCAACCUGGCCAACUGGAUCCUGACUGAUUUCAGCAAUCAGCGGUAGCAGGUCCACAGUGCCUGAUAACAGAAGUAGGCGUUGCGGUCAUUCAAUUUUGUCUACAUACAUAAUUACAUAUAUAGCUGUUGCAUCACUUGAUUUUAGAUCGAUAUUCAUGGAUUUGUUGGUGUGCUUGCUUCUGUUUUGUGCUUUGAAAAACAUGCAUGUGUUUUGCAGGUUCAGAACCAGUCCAUAUGCCACACAACAUUUAGGAGGGUGUCCGAUUUCAUUGAACCAGUCCAUAUCCGACACAACGUUUAUCAUUCAAUCUAUUAUUUAUUUAUUUUA